AAAUUAUUCCCUCAUCUCCCAUGUGAAGGACUCCAGAGGUGUUCCAGCUGGCCAAAAGGCUGCCAAAUUCCUCUGCAGCUCUACUGCAGGACUCUGCCCAUUCCCCUUCCUGCUGGGAUUCCAGAAGCACUUUCUGGUUGCAAGAGUGAACAGCAGGAGUUGUGGUGAAUCAAGAGGACUCAAACCUGUGCUGAAGUUCGUGCCCCUCUGGGGUUCCACAACACUGAGUCAUUUAUUUGCCUUUUCAUCUCUCUGCCUUCCUUGCCAAGACCUGCCCUGCUGAAAUGAUCACCUGCCCCAUCACUUUUUUCAUCAGGGUGUCACACCUGCCCUGUAAGCUCUGCCCCCCUGCUCGGUCAGGGGGGCUCUGCUGAAGGUGGGAGUCUGGCUCUGCUAGGAUUCACAUCUACACUCACAGCCUGCUUCCAAGGGAAAUGUAGAGGAUUCUUUUCUGGAGCAUGCACAGGAAAUCCCUGGAUGGUGACAUUUGGAAUUGGGGUCGGGAAAGGCUGCUCUCUGCAGGUCUUGGAGCACACAGGCCUUUCUGGAAGCCAGCAUGAUCGUGGAGACAAGUG